rnacentral:ncRNA from 1 species
AAUGGAUACCACAUCCAAGGAGGAGAGUAAGAAUACAAAUUACCUAAUCCUAACAUGAGGAGGUAAUGACAAUAGAUAACAAUAUUAGGCCCAUCAAGUUUAGUAACUGGAAUGAGAGAAAUAUAAAUCCCUUAGUGAGGAUUCAAUAAAGGGAAAUUCUAGUGCCAACAAUCAUGGUAAUUCAAGAUCGAAUAUCAUAUACUUAAUUUGUUGCAUUUAAAAGUAUCAUAGUUGGAUCUUAGGUCAUGAAGGUUGGUCUGCAUAUUCAGUGUGCACCUUCCCUUUCAUCCCUUUUGCCGGCAGCAUGAUCCCAACCUUAAUUGGCUAGAUCAUAGUCUUGAUGUCAUUACUUCAAAAAAAACUAGAGUGCCAAAAGAAAAAUUAUGCUAUUAAUACAUUAGCAUGGAAUAAUGCAACAAGAGUCUAAUCCUAUUAUGUUGGCCUUUGGGACUAGAGUAACGAUUAAUAGGGAGUGUUGGGGGCAUUUGUAUUUCAUGGUCAGAGGAAAAUUUCUUGGAUUUAUGAAAGACGAACCACUGCGACAAAAUUUUCCAAGGAUAAUUUCAUUAAUCAAGAAUGAAAGCUGAGGGCUCAAAGAAAAUCAGAUACCAUCCUAAUCUCAACUAUAAAUGAUGUUGGCCAGGGAUGAACCAAUGUUUCUCUAAGGACUCUUCCAACACUUUCUGAGAAAUCAAAGCGUUUGAGUUCUAUGUCGAAUAUGGUCUCAAGGGUGAAACUAAAAUAAAUUAAUGGAAGGGCACAACUAGGAUUGAAUUCUAUGACUUGAAACAUGGGAAAAAUUACCAAGUCUUGACAUAGUAAGGAUUGAUAAAUGGAGAGCUCUUUCUCGAUUCUAUGGGUGGUAGUGCAUGGACAAAAUAGGAGGAUCUAUGUCAUUUGGAUAUGGGCCCACCCAAUUAAUGUUGACUCGUAAACAAGUGGAGCAUAGUCCCAUCCAUUAUUCUCUUUUAAGUGUGUCUCGGUUAAUGUCUCAAUUAUUGUUGUUUCAAUGUCCAUAAUAUAUUAGUAGGGUAGCUUGUUUUCAAGUUUUCAUUC